UUAAUAUUAUUUUUUUUUAAAUCUAAUAAAAGGUAAACGAUGGCACAUUUCUCAUCAGUCUUACACAAAUCAAAAACUCUAUUUCUCAAAAUAUUGAUCCAUGUCUGCAGUCUUCUAUUUUUAGGGCUGGCAUGGAUUGCAGUGUCAAAGUUGUGGGGACCUAAAUACCUGGUGGCACCCCUGCUCACACUGUAACAGCUGGGAAAGGCUCCAGCACCGCUGUGACACUGGAAUUGAUUAUUUAAAACAACAGUGAGUAUCUUAUCAGUGUGUACUUCAAAAAUCAGUCCUGUACUGCCAUCUUCAGUAUGAUAGAUGAGAUAACACAUAACAUGUGAACACUUCCCCCUUUUUGAACACCAUAAAGACAGAUAUGGUUUCAGCUCGAUUAUUUUAUAACAGGCUCAAAGUUCAGCAUUUGACACAGUUUAUACCUGAUCUAACCAGAUUCAACAAUGUGUGUUAAUCUGAUAAAUUCAUAUUUUUCCAGCAAUAUACUUUGAUUAACAAGAACUUGGAAUCUUAAGAAGCUAUUUUUUUUCCAAAACUCUGACCAUAUAUGAGGGAUCUGCAGUUGAUAAGCCGCACCGGUUUGAGCACCGGCACUGGUAUCGGAUAAAACCUAAACGAUACCCAUCCUUGGUCACAGACACUUCGCCUGCUAGUUUGGCUCGUUGCAUCAUCCUGUUAAUUUUAUCAGUUGUUUUUCUUGUACGUAGAAAGAGGAAACACCUGAUGAGGACCAAUAGAAGGCCAAAGGAUCAGACUGAAGAUUUUCAAGUGUCCUCUGAAGAAGACAGAGAGAGAGAGCAGCUCAGUAUGAUGUGGAAGUUGCCAAUAACUUCAAGGCAGCAGCUUCAGGAGGAACAACAGAGGAGGGAGGCUGCUGAAAAUACACUUGGCGACCUGCAGAACGAUAAAGAAAAGUUGGAGAAGAAGAAUACUGAAAUCAUCAAUCAGCUCCAGCACGAGAAAGAAACAUUAGAGGAGCUGAAGAAGCAGCUGGAGUCCAAAAAUCAGGAGCUUUCUGACAGCAUCAGUGAGCUUAACAGGGAGAAAAGGAUAAAGGAGAGUGAAAUAAACACCAUGAGGGUUCAGCUGGAGUCCAACAAACAGGAGAUGAUGAAAUCUGAGAGGGAGAAGGAUGAAAUCAUUACGAAGCUGAGGCAGACGAUCCUUACACUGGAAUCAAAGGCCAGUCUCCAGGAGGAGAAACAGAGAAGGGAGAAAGCUGAGAAACAAGUUCAGAUGUUGCCAACAGAAACAGAGGAGGAGAAACAGAACAAAGAGGAAACUGAGAAAAAAGUUCAGACCUUGCAGAUCAAAACAGAGAAGAUUUCUCACAUCAACAGUCCGUCCAAGCAGAAGAAAUAGACACUGAAGGAGCCUCAGAAAGAAGUCAAGGAACAGCCCAAGAAUCAGUGCUGUGCUUUCUGAUUUGAUUUUUAAAGAAUUAGUUUACAUUUAUGUUUACAUCAACAGCUGGUGUGACAAAGCAAAUUGCAAGGCACCCAUAUGUGUAUGCUUGUGUGCAGAACAGAGAGCAAUUUUAAAAUGUGUAACUUGAAUGCUGUUAUACCCCCAACUGGUCACAGCAGAUGUCCACCCCUCCCUGAGCCUGAUUCUGCUGGAGGUUUCUUCCUCUCAAAUCGGCAUUUUUCCUUCCCACUGUCACCAAGGAACUGGACUCACAUUGAGGUUUUUUGAUUGUUGGGGUUUUCUCUGUAUUAUUGUACGAUCUUUACAUGACAACAUAAUGAACUUUGACUUUGUGACUGUUGUUGUGAUUUGGUGCUAUAUA
ensembl:lncRNA